GGUGGCUAAUCCCGGAUGUGUCAAGAGGGUGAAAGAUUAAUUGCCUGAAGAUGAGCUCGCGUCUGAUUAGCUAGUUGGUAGAGUAAUAGCCUACCUAGGCGACGAUCAGUAGCUGGUCUGAGAGGACGAUCAGCCACACUGGGACUGAGACACGGCCCAGACUCCUACGGGAGGCAGCAGUGGGGAAUUUUCCGCAAUGGGCGAAAGCCUGACGGAGCAAUACCGCGUGAGGGAGGAAGGCUCCUGGGUCGUAAACCUCUUUUCUUAGGGAAGAACACAAUGACGGUACCUAAGGAAUAAGCAUCGGCUAACUCCGUGCCAGCAGCCGCGGUAAUACGGAGGAUGCAAGCGUUAUCCGGAAUGAUUGGGCGUAAAGCGUCCGCAGGUGGCGAUGWAAGUCUGCUGUUAAAGAGUCUAGCUCAACYMGAUAMRRGCAGUGGAAACUACMUAGCUAGAGUACGKUCGGGGCAGAGGGAAUUCCUGGUGUAGCGGUGAAAUGCGUAGAGAUCAGGAAGAACACCGGUGGCGAAGGCGCUCUGCUAGGCCGUAACUGACACUGAGGGACGAAAGCUAGGGG
rnacentral:rRNA from 1 species